UUCAAUUCUUCCCCAAAUUGCACAAAUAGGGAAAAAUCUCUCCCAUAUCAGAAUUUCCGUCGACCAGCCAUCCCACUGGCACCGCCUCUGCCUCCGGUGCCGCCGUCCGCCGACGUCUCCUCCCUCUUCUCUCUCUCUUCUCUCUUCUCCCCCUCUCUCUCUCUCUCGGCUAUGCUCACGCCGCCGCCGCGGAUCCGUCUCCGUCGCUCCUCCAAACUCGCCCAGUCACCGCCGCCGUCAGCAGCGUCCAGCCAUCGCCGCAGUCAGCAGCGCCCAGCCACCGCUGCCGUCAAUGCACAGAGGCGUCGCCAUCGCUGUCGGCUUCUCCGCCGGUUCGCGCAGUUGUCCGAACUCGCCCCGAACAGCUCCGAAACGACACCGCACUGCCCCGAAACCAACCCGAAUCACCCCGCAAGGAAAAACCCAGUUUAAGCUCGUGGCUUUGGUGUAGGAAAAUAAAUAACAUCCAUAGUCUUCCCUGAUGAUGUACCGGACUUUCUUGGAGUGCGAGCAUGACUGUUGAACGGGCUGUGUGAACCUUUCUCUAAUUGUAAUAGAUAAGGAUCCGAUAAAUUUGUAUAAUAGUAAUUUAGCGGACUUCGGAGAUAUGCCGGACAUUAUAAAUUUUUAUUUGGUGUUACUUUUUAUUUAUUUAUUUAUUUUUUUGAAAAAACUUCGUUCGAGAACGAAGCAACGAUUAUUUAUAUUUCCAAGAUCAUUUAUUAUA